UGAAUGGUGGAACGAGGGCUUAACUGUCUCCCCUCUCAAGUCAAUGAAAUUGAUCUGCCCGUGCAGAAGCGGGUAUACAAAUACAAGACGAGAAGACCCUUUGGAGCUUAAGAUACAAGAUCAACUAUGUCAAGAACCUAAUUAAACUAAAUAGCACCUGAUCCCAAUCUUCAGUUGGGGCGACCACGGAGAAAAUAAAGCUCCCACGCGGACCGGGGCAAUCACCCCAAAACCAAGAGAAACAGCUCUAAGUCGCAGAAUUUCUGACCAAAAAGAUCCGGCCUCCCCGCCGACCAGCGAACAAAGUUACCCUAGGGAUAACAGCGCAAUCCCCUUUCAGAGUCCAUAUCGACAAGGGGGUUUACGACCUCGAUGUUGGAUCAGGACAUCCUAAUGGUGCAG
rnacentral:rRNA from 1 species